UCUCGACUGUCGCUGUGCGACAUAAGUCAUCAAUUAGGGCACCAUGUCAAUAUCAAUUAUUUAUAUACACACCUUUGGCCCGUAUAGCCUCUCCCGGAAGUAAAAUUGCUAUUUUUCAGCACUGAGUCUGUAACGUAGAGGAGAAGCGUUUGGGCUAAACUCGCGACAGAGAAGAUUGUCUCCAUUCAAUUUUUUGCUUCCGGAUGAAUUAAAUCUUCUUCACCUUGGCAUCAUGGCCAGAGAUAACACAUUUCUCACGUGUGACAUGCGAUCCUAAGAGAAGAAUGCGGCUGUGCCCCACCUUCCUGCUGCAGCGCUGGCUGUGGUUGUGUGUGUGCGCCAGACAGUGGCACUGCAGCAAUGGGAACAACUGCAGACUACCGCUGUGUGUGAGGCAGAUAGGGGCCUACCUCAGACUGAUGGUCGACUCCCUCUAUUACAACACCCUCACCAACUCUGAUGUCGUCAUGGACUCACUGAUGGAACCCAUCUUCUGGAUGGUGGACCUACUCACCCGCAGGUUCGGGGCGGUGUUUGUAUGUCUGUUAGUGAUACUGACCACUUCUAUCCUGCUGGUAGUCUAUGUGGUUAUGCUGCCCCUGAUCAUCAACACGUACUCUCCAUCCUGGAUAGCCUGGCACAUGAGUUAUGGACACUGGAACCUCGUCAUGAUCGUCUUCCACUAUUAUAAAGCUACCAAUACUGGCCCAGGAUACCCCCCUACGAUGAAAAAUUCGAUUCCAUUUGUGUCCAUGUGUAAGAAGUGUAUCAUCCCCAAACCAGCCAGAACUCACCACUGUGCCAUCUGCAACACGUGCAUUUUGAAAAUGGACCAUCAUUGUCCGUGGCUGAAUAACUGUGUCGGCCAUUUUAACCAGCGCUACUUCUUCUGCUUCUGUGUCUCCAUGACCCUGGGCUGUGUCUACUGCAGCAUCAGUGGCCGGAACCUUUUCCUAGAUGCUUAUAGUGCUAUAGAGUGUUUCUUCUGUUUGUCUAACUCUUGGUGGUCUGGGGGUGUGUUUUUGCGUUGUCCCGAGAGCGCUUCAAACACAUGGACUUUGGAUAAAUCAGGUGACAGGGAUGGGGCAACUCAGAGGCAUCUUACCGCCUGUGCAGGUGUUUGUAUGACCUCUGUCUGUUGUCAAUCAGAGCACCUACCAGACUCCUCCCUUAACGUUCAGAGACAAGAUGUUCCACAUGAGUGUCAUUUACAUGUGGGUGUUAACCAGUGUGGUGGCUGUAGCUCUUGGGGGCCUGACUAUCUGGCACGCAGUGCUGAUAUCCCGAGGAGAGACCAGCAUAGAGAGACACCUCAACAACAAGGAGACCAAACGGAUGCGGAAAUGUGGCAAGGUGUACAAGAACUCCUUUAACUAUGGCAGACUGAACAACUGGAAAGUCUUCUUAGGUGUGGAGAAGAAAAGUCAUUGGCUGACGCGAGUCCUCCUACCCUCUGGACAUGUCCCCAUUGGGAACGGCCUGACCUGGGACAUCUAUCCAUUCAGAAAAGACAUGAUGCCCGUCUGAGCCAAAUACAAAAUAACUGAAUUGAGACUUCUACAAAAAGAGGAAACACCUGAUGGCUGUCUGACCACAGAACUUCAUCUCCCAGCGGACCCUACAUAUACUAAUGUCAAAUGACCAGGUUUUGUAGACGAGCAGGAGAGUGAAUACUGGGAGGACAACAGGGAAGAGAUGGGGAAUGUUUGUGGCUCCUAAGUGAAACAACCCUAGAAAAUGUUUCAACCCUGGUCCUGGCAGUGGUCUGGGCUUACGUACUAAAGGCCUACCACACUCCAGCACUUGUAAUGUGGGGAUGAACUGUUUCAUAAUGUUUUCAGACUGUACAACAGAGUACCACAGUAUGAGUCAUCAUAUUACCCAUAAGACCUAGAGGUCAAACAGGGAAAUUAUUCCAAUUUGUUUUUCCACCAUUCACUUUUCCCAUAGGGUUUUUAGAAACACUUAAAAUAAAGGCUGGGUUUUGUUUUGAUAACCGUAUAAAUCUUUCUAGAACAAGGUGACUUAUCAAUGUAUUUACCCCCCCGCCAAAUGAAACGCUACUAUGGCAAUCAUCAUAAAGGACUACAAAUGCCAUGAUGAUCUGGACGAGACUUCUGAAUCAAGGAAAAGGUAAGAAUCUAUGGAUUAACUAUCUAAUGUCAGCUAAAUGUAAUGAAUAAAUUGGCACCAUUUCUUUAGAUGGACAAUUCUGUCAACUGCAAGUUUUCAAUUGACAGAAUACCUGUUAGCUAGAGAUGACAUGCAGGGAUUUGUAGUCUUUCAUAAUGUCUCUAUUUGAUGCUAAUUUCUAUUUUGAUUUCUGACAAGUCACCUUGUCAGAGAUUUACAUGGUUAUCAAAACGUCACGACGCCAGGGUAACUCUACACAAAACACAGCCGUUAUUUUAAGUGUUUCUAAAAUCUCCUAUGGGGAAAAAUGAAUGGUGGAAAAACGAUUGGAACCAUUUCCCUGUUUGACCGCUAGGUUUUAUGGGUAUUAUGACACGUCCACAAUGGGACUCUAUGGUGUACAUUAGGCAUGUCAAACUCAUUCCAUGGAGGGCCAAGUGUCUGCAGGCUUUUGGGUUUUUCCUUUCAAUUAAGCCCUAGACAACCAGGUGUGGGGAGUUCCUUACUAAUUAGUGACCUUAACUCAUCAAGUACAAGGGAGGUACUUGAUGAGCGAUAUCUGUUUGCGAUAUUACAUUUCCUUAAAACAAUAACAAAUGUCGGCUUUAAUCUAAUUUUAACCUUGUCAUAAGGAGCACGUUCAAAAUCAUAAAACAUGUUUUCCCAUUUUGACAUUAAGAAAAAUCACUGAAAAGGGGUUGAUGGUAAUGGUUAACAAUGUCAUAAAUCAGCCAUAACUCCCCUUGCUAUCGGGAGAAUGGAAUCAAGGGAGGGGCAAUUGAAUGCAAGCUUAACAAAAAAUGUGAACUUGUUUAAACAUCUAUCAAUGGGUAACGGGGUUAACGUGUUACGCUUGAUGCACUCGGUCUUCUACCCCAAAACACUAGGGCUGUACAAUAGGACAGUUGCAUGCAAUGUUACAUUUGUUGACCCUGGAGUUAUGUUACGCCCCCUCCCCCCCAAUGUUCUGUACUGUUCAGUUGACGUUAUGAUAUAAAAAAGUAGUUGGCUCUGA